GUGGUGCCACGAUUCACGGCAUGGCACGCCGGCUCGUGCGUGACAAGAUCGGCCUUGGUAUGGCUGAUAGUUUCCAGUCCAUGCCAACCAUCCCAUCCUUCUGGUUGGCUGGAAGCACCAAGGGCCGACUUUGUGGGGGCAUGACGGUGCUGGAUGGGCUGCAAGGAGCCUUGCUCGACCCCACCGUUGGCAAGAACGGUAUGGCGACGGCGCUGCUUUUUUAGCGGUGUGGUGGAGGCGCACAAACCAUCGCCUGAGCUGCAGGACGACGCUGUGUACCGCUUGCAGAGGAACGGCUGACAGCUGUGGGACAAAAGGUCUCCUCGACUGACUUGCGCCUGUCAAGGAGAUUGCCAAGAACAGGACGGCGGUGGCGCUGCACGACGAAGGGGCUGCGGCAGCUGCAGUGCGACUACUUCUCCCGGCCGAUGCCAACCUUCAAGCGCUGUAGCGCCGACACUGUCACCGUCGGGAACUUCGCCGCCGUAAACGUCGCCGGCAAGCGACUGUGUUGCUUGCCUCUGAUAAGUCUGCAAAGGUGGUUGCCCUGCCAAUCCUCGCGGAGCUGAAGGUGUGGGCCAUCCUCGGUGUCCCGAAGAGGAAUUCAUGUGCGAGAGCACCUUCAAGACGCUGUCGAAGCUGUUUGGCAAGGCUGAAAUGAGGCCUGGCAGCGUGGACUGCUUUUGAUUGAAGGAGACGUUUGCCGCCGUGCUCGGCGCGGCAAGCAAGGAAUCCCCGGCGGGCUGAACGCCGACCAUGUGAGCUAGUUCGGCAGCCGGAUCUUCAUCGGCCACCUGGUGGGCGGCGGCAGUGGCAGUGGCUAGCUCAUCGCCACGUGCGAGUGGAGCAACGCACCUUGAUUGUGUC